GGCGAGAACGAAGAACAGCGAGGGGAGGGACGUGACGACGUAAAGCGCGCGCCAGGACGGGAAGAGGUAGGCAAUGCCGGCAAGGAUGGCGAUGCCAACGGAGAAGAAGUAGAAGGUGGACAUACCGGCGGCGCCGCGCUUGGUCGGGCCGACGGGUUCCGUGGCGAGGACAAAAGCGCACAAGCCGACGCCGCCGGUGCUGAAUCCGGUGAGGAAGCGGAGAGCGACGUAGACCCAGUAGGUGGGCGACAAGGAGGUGAGGAGGCCGAAGAUUGCGUUGAGGACGCAGACGAUGGUCAGCGAUCCUUUCCUUCCCAUGAAGGAAUCGGAC
rnacentral:lncRNA from 1 species